GGGAUUGCCUUAGUAACUGCGAGUGAAGCGGCAAAAGCUCAAAUUUGAAAUCGGAGUCCUUCUCGGGCUUCGAGUUGUAAUUUGGAGGGAUAACUUCGGUACGGACUACAUCGUAAGUUCCUUGGAACAGGACGUCAUAGAGGGUGAGAAUCCCGUGUCUUGGUGUCUGGCCGUGCCAUGUGAAGUGUCUCCGACGAGUCGAGUUGUUUGGGAAUGCAGCUCAAAAUGGGUGGUAAAUUUCAUCUAAAGCUAAAUAUUGGCGAGAGACCGAUAGCGCACAAGUAGAGUGAUCGAAAGAUGAAAAGCACUUUGAAAAGAGAGUUAAAAAGUACGUGAAAUUGUUGAAAGGGAAGCGCUUGCGACCAGACUCGAUCUUUGGUGAUCAGCCGGGCUUCUGUCCGGUGCCCUUGCCAUUGAUUGGGCCAGCAUCGGUUCCGACGGUGGGAUAAAAGGAGGAGGAAUGUGGCUCCCUUCGGGGAGUGUUAUAGCCUCCUUCACAAUGCCACCAGUUGGGACCGAGGACCGCGCUUCGGCUAGGAUGCUGGCGUAAUGGUCUUAAGCGACCCGUCUUGAAACACGGACCAAGGAGUCUAACAUCUAUGCGAGUGUUCGGGUGGAAAACCCUUGCGCGUAAUGAAAGUGAACGGAGGUGUGAACCCUUUACCGGGUGCAACAUCGACCGGUCCUGAUGUCUUCGGAAGGAUCUGAGUAAGAGCAUAGCUGUUGGGACCCGAAAGAUGGUGAACUAUGCCUGAAUAGGGUGAAGCCAGAGGAAACUCUGGUGGAGGCUCGCAGCGGUUCUGACGUGCAA
rnacentral:rRNA from 1 species